GCGAAAGCGCUCGACUGGGCCUGCACGGACACUGAGGGACGAAAGCUAGGGGAGCGAAAGGGAUUAGAUACCCCUGUAGUCCUAGCCGUAAACGAUGGAUACUAGGUGUUGCUCGUCAUCGACCCGAGCAGUGCCGUAGCCAACGCGUUAAGUAUCCCGCCUGGGGAGUACGCUCGCAAGAGCGAAACUCAAAGGAAUUGACGGGGGCCCGCACAAGCGGUGGAGUAUGUGGUUUAAUUCGAUGCAACGCGAAGAACCUUACCAGGGCUUGACAUGUCCGGAACCUUGCCGAAAGGUGAGGGUGCCUACGGGAACCGGAGCACAGGUGGUGCAUGGCUGUCGUCAGCUCGUGUCGUGAGAUGUUGGGUUAAGUCCCGCAACGAGCGCAACCCACGUUCUUAGUUGCCAGCAUUCAGUUGGGCACUCUAGGGAGACUGCCGGUGACAAACCGGAGGAAGGUGUGGAUGACGUCAAGUCAGCAUGCCCCUUACGUCCUGGGCUACACACGUACUACAAUGCUGUGGACAAAGGGCAGCCAGCCGGCGACGGUGAGCUAAUCCCAUAAACCACGGCACAGUUCAGAUUGCAGGCUGCAACUCGCCUGCAUGAAGGAGGAAUCGCUAGUAAUCGCAGGUCAGCAUACUGCGGUGAAUACGUUCCCGGGCCUUGUACACACCGCCCGUCACACCAUGGGAGUUGGUUUUGCCCGAAGUCGUUACUCCAACCUGCGGGGGGGGACGCC
rnacentral:rRNA from 1 species